rnacentral:misc_RNA from 1 species
GUAGGUGAACCUGCGGAAGGAUCAUUACAAUUCAGUAGCUUGCUACUGUUAGGAGGUGCUGUUAGUCCGCAUAGUUUAAUUACUGAUGAGCGGCAGGCCCUCUGUUUGUACCCUUGUCUUUUGCGCACUCAUGUUUCCUCGGCGGGCUUGCCCGCCGAUUGGACAAACUUAUAACCUUUUUAAUUUUCAAUCAGCGUCUGAAAAAACUUAAUAAUUACAACUUUCAACAACGGAUCUCUUGGUUCUG